UGGGGAAUUUUGGACAAUGGGCGAAAGCCUGAUCCAGCAAUGCCGCGUGUGUGAAGAAGGCCUUCGGGUUGUAAAGCACUUUUGUCCGGAAAGAAAUCCUUGGCUCUAAUACAGUCGGGGGAUGACGGUACCGGAAGAAUAAGCACCGGCUAACUACGUGCCAGCAGCCGCGGUAAUACGUAGGGUGCAAGCGUUAAUCGGAAUUACUGGGCGUAAAGCGUGCGCAGGCGGUUUGCUAAGACCGAUGUGAAAUCCCCGGGCUCAACCUGGGAACUGCAUUGGUGACUGGCAGGCUAGAGUAUGGCAGAGGGGGGUAGAACUCCACGUGUAGCAGUGAAAUGCGUAGAGAUGUGGAGGAAUACCGAUGGCGAAGGCAGCCCCCUGGGCCAAUACUGACGCUCAUGCACGAAAGCGUGGGGAGCAAAACAGGAUUAGAUACCCUGGUAGUCCACGCCCUAAACGAUGUCAACUAGUUGUUGGGGAUUCAUUUCCUUAGUAACUAGCUAACGCGUGAAGUUGACCGCCUGGGGAGUACGGUCGCAAGAUUAAAACUUAAAUGAAUUGACGGGGUC
rnacentral:rRNA from 1 species